GCCUCUAUAGCUCAGUGGUUAGAGUGCGACAUUGGUAAUGUCGAGGUCCCGGGUUCAAGUCCCGGUAGAGGC
rnacentral:tRNA from 1 species